UACAGAGGAUGCAAGCGUUAUCCGGAAUGAUUGGGCGUAAAGCGUCUGUAGGUGGCUUUUUAAGUCCGCCGUCAAAUCCCAGGGCUCAACUCUGGACAGGCGGUGGAAACUACCAAGCUGGAGUACGGUAGGGGCAGAGGGAAUUUCCGGUGGAGCGGUGAAAUGCGUAGAGAUCGGGAGGAACACCGGUGGCGAAGGCGGCCAGCUGGCGCUGACCUGACGCUGAAGCGCGAAGGCAUGGGGAGCGA
rnacentral:rRNA from 1 species